AACCGUGUGGUGAGCACAAAGCCAACUAUUCUUUCGCCUAUUACCAAAGAAUACUGUGUGCUUGCCACUUUAUGCGGCAUACGCCUACUUUUGAAGGGAUAUUCCUUCUGGGAACUU